rnacentral:rRNA from 1 species
AGUGAACGCUGGCGGUAGGCCUAACACAUGCAAGUCGAACGGCAGCACAGUAAGAGCUUGCUCUUACGGGUGGCGAGUGGCGGACGGGUGAGGAAUACAUCGGAAUCUACUUUUUCGUGGGGGAUAACGUAGGGAAACUUACGCUAAUACCGCAUACGACCUACGGGUGAAAGCAGGGGAUCUUCGGACCUUGCGCGAUUGAAUGAGCCGAUGUCGGAUUAGCUAGUUGGCGGGGUAAAGGCCCACCAAGGCGACGAUCCGUAGCUGGUCUGAGAGGAUGAUCAGCCACACUGGAACUGAGACACGGUCCAGACUCCUACGGGAGGCAGCAGUGGGGAAUAUUGGGCAAUGGGCGAAAGCCUGAUGCAGCCAUACCGCGUGGGUGAAGAAGGCCUUCGGGUUGUAAAGCCCUGUUGUUGGGGAAGAAAAACAGCGGGUUAAUACCCCGCCGUUCUGACGGUACCCAAAGAAUAAGCAACGGCUAACUUCGUG